ACGGGGAGGGGUUUGAGGAGGGGAUCGGAAUGUGGCUCAAGUUCGGGAGGCGUUACCUGCGGAGGGUUUGAGGCAGGCCCAGGAGCGAGCCCAUGGUCUUCCGACGCGGGGCCAGGGGCGGGGCCCAGGAUCCGGAGCUUCGUGCGGGGCCGAGUCCAGGUUUGGGGCCCGGGAGGCGGGGCCAGUUAGGGCGAGGGUCCCUGGGAUCGUCGGGUCAGGCCUUGGGCUAACGUAGGCACUCUCGCAGUUCCUCCGCCUUCAGGAAGGUCUUUUCAGCAGGGGCCUUACGGGUGCAUGCUUCGGUCCUGGAGGCCUUAUCCUAGCCUCCUCUCCAUCAGCGCCACCCGUCUGGGGCCCGAAAGGAGGGAGCUUUCCCUCUGUCCCCCAGCCUUUGGACUGUCACUAAACAAGCCAUUCGUUCAUCAAAUACUUUUUAAGCGCCUACCAUGUGCCUGACAAGGGAGAUGUAACGGUGAGAAAAACUAGGUGUGGUCCAGGCCCUUCAGGGGCUCAGGUGCUCGUGGAAGAAGUGGACAUUGAAGUACUUAUCACACAAAUGAGGAUAAAAGUACGAUAACGAUAUCUACCACGAAGCUGUUGUUCCCCACCAGAACCAAAUGAGCGCAAGAUCUGACAAAGAAAAAAAAAGGUUCAUCUUUUAUUCCUCCAAACACUUUCAUUUAAAUCAAGAGGAUGGGAUGUGGUUAUUGCUGUGUUUUUAGACAGAAUCAACGGUUUCUGGGUCUGAGAUGUUGCAUACACCUUCUCAGUCCCUGUAUCCUGAGAUGGAGUCACCUGAGAAUCCACAGCAAGUCCUAACCAGGGAUGGGUCUGGGUGAUUAAGGAAGGUUGGCUUCAGAACUGGGCCAGGGGCACUGCUUUGCUUUUGCUGUUUUGAUCAGCUCUCUGCCUGAAGGAGACAAGAAAAACCAACGGGAACAGCUGGGGAAACUGAGUUACAGAGCUUGUCUGCACUGAGUCAUCAGGAGCAAAUGCUAGAUCAGAUAGGGUCUCUCUCUCUGCCACCCAGGCCAGAGUGCAGUUGACGCAGGGCAGGGGAGCCCCGAAGUGGAGCAUAGUGUGUCCGGAACUGGUGGGUUCUUGGUCUCACUGACUUCAAGAAAGAAGCCGCGGACCCUCGCGGUGAGUGUCACAGUUCUUAAAGGCUGCGUGUCCAGAGUUUGUUCCUUCUGAUGCUCGGAUGUGUUCAGAGUUUCUUCCUUCUGGUGGUUUUGUGGUCUCGCUGGCUUCAGGAGUGAAGCUGCAGACCUUCAAG
ensembl:lncRNA FAM66D family with sequence similarity 66 member D